rnacentral:rRNA from 1 species
CUAUAAUGCAGUCGAGCGCUGGAAGCUCAUUCUCGAUCCCUUCGGGAUGAAGUAUGAGUGGAACGAGCGGCGGACGGGUGAGUAACACGUGGGCAACCUACCUAUAAGACUGGGAUAACUCGCGGAAACGUGAGCUAAUACCGGAUAAUACUUUUUAUUGCAUAAUAAGAAGUUUGAAAGGCGGCGUAAGCUGUCACUUAUAGAUGGGCCCGCGGCGCAUUAGCUAGUUGGUGAGGUAAAGGCUCACCAAGGCAACGAUGCGUAGCCGACCUGAGAGGGUGAUCGGCCACACUGGGACUGAGACACGGCCCAGACUCCUACGGGAGGCAGCAGUAGGGAAUCUUCCGCAAUGGACGAAAGUCUGACGGAGCAACGCCGCGUGAGUGAAGAAGGUUUUCGGAUCGUAAAACUCUGUUGUUAGGGAAGAACAAGUCAGGUAGUAACUGACCUGACCUUGACGGUACCUAACCAGAAAGCCACGGCUAACUACGUGCCAGCAGCCGCGGUAAUACGUAGGUGGCAAGCGUUGUCCGGAUUUAUUGGGCGUAAAGCGCUCGCAGGCGGUCUUUUAAGUCUGAUGUGAAAGCCCACGGCUUAACCGUGGAGGGUCAUUGGAAACUGGAGGACUUGAGUGCAGAAGAGGAGAGUGGAAUUCCAUGUGUAGCGGUGAAAUGCGUGAGAUAUGGAGGAACACCAGUGGCGAAGGCGACUCUCUGGUCUGUAACUGACGCUGAUGAG